rnacentral:piRNA from 1 species
AAGAGACUGAGCAGAGCCUUA